CCUGGCGGCGAUAGCGCGGUGGUCCCACCUGACCCAUGCCGAACUCAGAAGUGAAACGCCGUAGCGCCGAUGGUAGUGUGGGGUCUCCCCAUGCGAGAGUAGGGAACUGCCAGGU
rnacentral:rRNA from 1 species